UCUGAUCUUUUACCUUACAUCAUAACGUCGUUUGCGACAGAUCUACAUCGAUUUGCAGGUUGCAUUCAAACCGAUGGAGUUGCCAUUCAAACCGUCAUAUGUAUCUUCUUCUUCACACGAAUCCACAAGUCUGCAGGUUGCAUUGUUUCAGUUUAUGACAGAUCUACAUCGAUUUGCAAUUGAUUGUGUUACGAACUGAUUUGCACAAAAAUUACAAGUUCAUCUGGUUAAAUUAGUUCAUUUGCUGAACAGAAGUAUGUCUGUACGAAUCUGAUUUGUUCAUUCACUGUUCAGAAUUAGGUCCAUUUGCUGAGUUCAUUCGGAACAAACAAUUCAAGUUGUAGGGGAUAUGGGAAAUCAAUCGACUAUAUGUUCACCAAUGAAAUUAUUUCUUGAUAAUAAGUCUUGGUCAUUUAGUUACAAGCUUUUGCAAUAAGCGGUUUUUAAUUUCUAGUUUCUUAGGUUCAUCGACAAUCAUUACAAGUUGUUCUUCAAUUUUUUUUUCUUUUAUUCACUUUAUCAGUUAGUUUUUAAUGUCAUGAUUAAUUAUUCUUCUGCUAGUUGCUGUUCAUUUUGAGGUAUUCAUCGUUAUAUGUUUGGUUAAUGUAGUUGUACCGAUGUUGUUUCGCGGUUUCGGUACUAGUGAUUUGUGUUCUUCUGCUACUUGAUUGUUAAUGUUGUUUUCAAUUCUAGAACCAUCUUAGAUGCAGUAAAUGAUUUCAUAUGUAUGUGUUCUUAGUUCAUGUUCAGUGAUCUACAAGGUGAUUAUGAUUUAUGAAGCAAAUGGUGACAUUUUGGUGACAUGUUACAGGAUGUUGUGCACAGUGACAAACGAUUGUAUCUAAUUUGAGUUGACUGAGUUAUGAGAAUUCCUUCAUGUUAGUGUUUUUCAGUGAUGAUGAUCCAUGAAUGAUUCGAUACAUAUACUCACUAAUUUCUUGGA